rnacentral:rRNA from 1 species
UACGUAGGCAGCAAGCGUUGUUCGGAGUUACUGGGCGUAAAGGGUGCGUAGGCGGCUAUUUAAGUUUGGUGUGAAAUCUCCCGGCUCAACUGGGAGGGUGCGCCGAAUACUGAGUGGCUAGAGUGUGGGAGAGGAAAGUGGAAUUCCUGGUGUAGCGGUGAAAUGCGUAGAUAUCAGGAGGAACACCGGUGGUGUAAACGGCUUUCUGGACCAUAACUGACGCUGAGGCACGAAAGCGUGGGUAGCAAACAGG